AUUGAACGCUGGCGGCAUGCCUAACACAUGCAAGUCGAGCGGAUGAAGGGUGCUUUCUCCUGGAUUUAGCGUCGGACGGGUGAGUAAUGCCUAGGAAUCUGCCUGGCAGUGCGGGAUAACGUCCGGAAACGGGCGCUAAUACUGCCUACGUCCUGAGGGUGAAAGUUGGUGAUCUUCGGACCUCACGCUCUCAGAUGAGCCUAGUUCGGAUUAGCUAGUUUGUGGGGUAAAGGCCUACCAAGGCGACGAUUCGUGACUGGUGUGCGAGGAUGGUUAGUCACCCGGGAGCUGGACCGCGGUCAAGGCUCCUACGGGAGGCAGCAGUGGGGAAUAUUGGACAAUGGGCGAAAACCUGAUCCAGCCAUGCCGAGUCUGUGAAGAAGGUCUUCGGAUUGUGAAGCACUUUAAGUUGGGAGGAACGGCAGUAAGUUGAUACCUUGCUGUUGUGACGUUACCAACAGAAUAAGCACCGGCUAACUUCGUG
rnacentral:rRNA from 1 species